AGCAGCCGCGGUAAUUCCAGCUCCAAUAGCGUAUAUUAAAGUUGUUGCAGUUAAAAAGCUCGUAGUUGAAUUUCGAGAUCGGCUUACUGGUCGUGCUAUUGUACGUACUGGUAUAAUCGGUUUCUCCUUUCUGACGAACUAUAAUGCCAUUAAUUUGGUGUUUUAGGGAAUCAGGACUGUUACUUUGAAAAAUUAGAGUGUUUAAAGCAGGCUCACGCUUGAAUACAUUAGCAUGGAAUAACGGAAUAGGACGUUUGAUUCUAUUUUGUUGGUUUCUAGGAUCGACGUAAUGAUUAAUAGGGAUAGUUGGGGGCAUUAGUAUUCAAUUGUCAGAGGUGAAAUUCUUGGAUUUAUUGAAGACUAACUACUGCGAAAGCAUUUGCCAAGGAUGCUUUCAUUAAUCAAGAACGAAAGUUAGGGGAUCGAAGACGAUCAGAUACCGUCGUAGUCUUAACCAUAAACUAUGCCGACUAGGGAUCGGAUGAUGUUAAUUUUUAAUGGCUCA
rnacentral:rRNA from 1 species